rnacentral:lncRNA from 1 species
CUCACAGAGGCGCACUGCGGCAGGAACUGGAUGUGGGUGUCAAGGUGGUCACAGAACAGACGGCUGGGUCAGCUCCCCAAGGAGAAGCCCUGAGCUGCCCAACAGGUCCCUCUUAGGCCCCACACUUCAGAGGCAGGGCUGCCACGCAUGCCUCCUGGAUCACCUCUUGGUGUCCCAUGGCCCCUGUGGGGCUCCUACCUGGCACAUCCUCACCUCCAGGCUCCCCCGGCUCCAACUCAGCAGGGAGGUGGGAGGUUGACGGGAGCAGGCAGGCAUGGGAGGGCUCAGCCGGGGUAUGAGGGGUGGGCAGAGUCCCCCCACCUGGCUCACCCUUUCUCUUCCUCUCCUCCUCUGGGCACCUUCUUUGACUCCCACAGGCUCCUAGCUCAGACCUCUCCACUCUUCCUGGCUUUCCUUCAGGGAGGUCAGGAAAGUCAGGGACCCGUGGAUAAAGACCAGGAGAACACAAUGUAAGUAUCUGGGCAAAGAACCUCUUAGGCAGAGGGCUUGGCGAGUGCAGAGCCCCAGGGACCUGUGCAGGGCCUGAUCAAGACCCUUGGAGGAGUCCAGGGGUGGCUAGAGUGCAGCAAGCAGGGGAGGGACUGGAGUAGCCAUAGAAGGGACCAGGACAGACUGAGCCCCAAACGUCCCCCUUGCCUGGCCCAGCCCAUGUGUUUCCGGUAUUGGUGGGUUCUUGGUCUCACUGACUUCAAGAAUGAAGCUGUGGACCCUGGCAAUGAGUGUUACAGCUCUUAAAGGCAGCGUGUCCGGAGUUUGUUCCUUCUGAUGUUCAGAUGUGUUCGGAGUUUUUUCCUUCUGGUGGGGUUCGUGGUCUCACUGGCUCAGGAGUGAAGCUGCGGACCUUCGCGGUGAGUGUCACAACUCUUAAGGUGGUGCGUCUGGAGUUGUUCGUUCCUCCCGGUGGGUUCGCGGUCUCACUGGCUUCAAGAGUGAAGCUGCAGACCUUCAACAAAUGAGUGUUACAGCUCGUAAACACGGUGUGGACCCAAAGACUAAAAGAACAAAGCUUCCACAAUGUGGUAAGGGUACCCCAGCGGGUUGCCGCUCCUGGCUCGGGCAGCCUUCUUUUAUUCUCUUAUCUGACCCCACCCACAUCCUGCUGAUUGGUAGAGCCGAGUGGUCUGUUUUCACAGGGUGCUGAUUGGUGUGUUUACAAUCCCUGAGCUAGACACAAAGGUUCUUCACGUCCCCGCCAGAUUAGCUAGAUACAUUGUCGAUUGGUGCAUUCACAAACCCUGAGCUAGACACAGGGUGCUGAUUGGUGUGUUUACGAACCUUGAGCUAGAUACAGAGUACCGAUUGGUGAAUUUACAAUCCCUUAGCUAGACAUAAAGGUUCUCCACGUCCCCACCAGACUCAGGAGCCCAGCUGGCUUCACCCAGUGAAUGUGGAGCUGCCUGCCAGUCCCGCACCGUGCACCCGCACUCCUCAGCCCUUGGGUGGUUGAUGGGACUAGGCGCCGUGGAGCGGGGGCGGCGCUCGUCAGGGAGGCUCGGGCUGCACAGGAGCCCAC